AUAGCUCGCCGAGCUUUUCCUCGCUCCCACAGCUCCAAUAUCUGUGCUCCGGUGGUGGAGUUAAGAAACGUUAUCAGGCAAGCUCAGGAUGAUGAAAAAACACACGGGGUCAAUCACCGCCGGACCCCUUCGGCAAUAUUCGCUUCUCCAUAUCUGCAGUUUGGAUGCCUCGCUGGAAGACGCGGGCGUGGAGAGGGCAGAGACGUGGCAAAAGCUGACAUCUGUCACUAUGUGUGUUCUACCAUUGAGCAGCAGCAGGCAGCGUUAUUGUGCCUACCAGAGCCACUUGCCACCGGCCACCAUCUGCUGUGGGUAUAUACAGGAGAGGCCUCGUGGUGAUCCGGGGCUCUGGGCUUUGAUUGCUUUGAGUCAUCCACAAAAUGCACAUCCAAAUAAACAAAACUAUUUGCUC